rnacentral:pre_miRNA from 1 species
UCUUAUGGAUGAGAAAAGAAAGUGGUUUCUUGAGAUGGACUCUGUUCCUGGUAAACAUUCUGUGAA